rnacentral:lncRNA from 1 species
GAUAAAGUUAUAUGUUCUUAAUUCAAAAAUGGGCAAAUUAAAGUUAAGAGCAAUGUAACUAUAUCAUUGUACAAUUUAAUAUACAACGGUGGGGAAGGAACAAGUUAUUUUGUAUCUCAAACUAAAAAUAUCUAAUGAUGUCUCUCCUAAUCAUGUCAAAUAGAUUCUACCUUUCAAUAAUCUUCAAAUUGCCUCCAGGUAACCAUACUCCAAUAACACCAGUAAUCAUCCAAUAGUAAUCAUAAAUUACCUCCUUCCUGUUAACUACUAGGUCAAGAAACACAUAUCAAUGAGAAAAAAAAUAUAUCAGUAAGCAAAAGGUUUGUAUGUCUACACUUAAUCUUUGUAAUAGCCUUAAAAAAUAAUAGGAAAUCAACCACAAAUCUCUCCAUGAGGAUGAGGCUCAUCUUUUGAAGUAUAACUCAAUUCAAGAACAUCUACAAGUUUUAUCUCUAAAAAUAGCAGUGUCAUAGACAAGUUAAACUCAAUUACAAUUUUAUUUGGCAAUCAUUAAGUUUACUGGGAAGCAAAUGCAAUCAAGGAGCAGGAACCAACAAAAAGAAAGUUGAAAUAAACCAUGAGACUUAAUAGUAUGUCCACAUCCAUGCACAUUUCCAUUUGAAUUGCAGUAUAUCAUAUAAACCAAAUUAUUAAUAUGUGUUGUUGAUAAAAUCAGAACGACUAAGCACUUCGCUUAGAAUCACACAACAUAAUCAUUAGAAAUGGGAAUACGGUGGCAACAAAAUCUAAGAAAACAACAACAUAUAUAGUAUAGUCCCACAAAAUGGAGUCUCAAAAAAAUACAAUGUACACAAUCGUUACCCGUAUUUCAGAUGCUAAGAGUUUUUUUCCGAUAGACCCUCAGCUAAAGAAAAACAUUCCUAAGAAGUUUCGAGAAAAGUUAUGGGAGUGAAAAAGAAAGCAGAUAAUUAUGCAAAGGAUCAGAUAGUAACAAAACAGUACGAUAAUUUAGGUAAAAGAAACCGAAGGACAAGAAACUACAAUGUUACAUAAACAAGGCUCGAAUAAAUCUCAAGAUUCACUAAAAAAACUCGAGUAUCACAGCACAAUAAAUGAUACUGUGAAUUGCAAAUCAAAACCAUGUUCAUUAGAGUCAGCAUAUAAUUGAUAUAUAAAUAACAAAUAUAAACAUUACUAUUUUGUAUGAGAAUUACAACACAAUACUAGAAAGUUUUGUAGAUGAAUUAUACUAUUUUCAGUAGAAUCAUAACCAUAUGGAAAAAUAAAUCAACAUGGAUGAUUACCAAGCUAAUCAAACCACCAACAGUCAGAACAAUAACAAGAAAGAAAAACCCAAUUAACAACACAUUAGACCACUAUAGAUAUAAAUUACAUAAUAUCUACAUAGAUUCUUCAAUACAAAAAAGAAAAGUACAACGCAUGCUUGAAAAAUCUUUAAACACACCAAAUUUUGGUAACUUAAUGUAAUACCCCAGAAAAUUUUUCAUUGAAAUUUUUUGCAUAAACGUGUUGGGUUCUAUCUUCUAGAAUGAAUUAUAAAUUUUCCUUGUGAAAUGUCUUAGAUUAUGACCUACCACUGCGUAGAGUAUCAAAUAAGAUUUCCAACGAUAUGUGGAUUAUCCAAAACGGACACUCGAGCGACGAGUUAUGAACAUUCCGAUCGAACCGUGAAUAGUAGUGAACAGUAAAACGUGCAGGAAAAAGUACUGAGGCCUGGCGUAUUUUUGCUCCAACUUUAAACAAUCAUAACUCCUUGUACAUAAUGAUAUGGGUGAUAUACUAUAUAACAACGGAAAGCUCUGCGAGUCCUCUUUCUCCAAUUUGUCUAUUGGAGCAAAGAGUUAUGGUCGAUCUACUUCAGCCUAUCAAAAGCGAAUUUUUGGGUCAACCUCAAACGAUCAUAACUCCUUGUACAUAAUUAUCUGGGUGAGAUACUAUAUAUCAACGGAAAUAUAUGAGAACCGUCUUUCUAAUGAAAUUGGUUUCAUCCAAUUUGAAUAUCGGAGUAAAAUGUUUUGGUUGAUCUACUUUAGACUAUCAAAACAGUCCACCAAAGGAAAGAUUCAAGAAUUAUUUGAUUUUGUAGGGGUAUUUUGUCCAUUCCCCCUCACCCAAAAUCCAUCCAAACCCUAUAUUAAAGCCUAUUAGAAGCAUUAUAUAUUAUAUUUCAUCAAAUUCCUCAAAAAGAAAACCCUAAGCUCGUACAUCAAACUUCAAGAACCUCCAAAGUUCACCAUUAAUUCUGCAAAUUUAUUCAAGAUUCCAAGUUCCUAGUUCAAGAAAUUCAAGAACCACCAAAGUUCAUCAUUAAUUCUGCAAAUUUAUCAAGAUUCCAAGUUCCUGGUUCAAGAACUCCAAGAACCAUUAUUCAAAGGCACAAUUAACAUCUCAAAAAUGAGUAUCGAUCUAAAGUUCAUCAUUCAAGGUAUGUGGGGUUUUUCAACAAGAACUCUCUUUCAUUCUUGUGCGCAAAAGUAAUUUUCUUUACAAAGGCAUGAUUUUUAUUUGAUUUUUAUGAAUUUGAAGCAUGAACCCAUAUCUUAUGAUGAUUAUUAUGAAAUCUUGAUGUUUAUGAUUUUGAAAAAUGAAUUUACAUGUGUGAUGAUAUAAAGCAUAAAUCUUGAAUGAUAUUUAUCAUGAUUUUGAUAUUUGGGUCGUGAAUCCCCAUUGGAAAUUGUGUUUUUUUGAGAAAGUGUGUGUUAUAAGCACGUUAAUGUUGAAUAUUUGAGAUAUUUUGAAUGAUUUGACCUUUCGAUCUUAAUGGAGUAUUUUUGAACUCGAGUGUUAAAGAAAUCCACAACGUAGUUGAUUUUGAUAGAUGGGAAGCAUGAUGGCUGCCAAUGUAUAUUUAUAUAUUUCUGAAAUUGUUUUUUUGUGGAUUGUCUUUAAAAUGAUCUAAGCUAAGUCCGGGACAAAUCUUUAGCACCGAGUGGGAGGUAUAAAGCAACCUUACUUCCCUAGAACUACAUGCCCCCGUAGGAGUGAGCCUGAGACUGAUUUAUAUGGUGAUCACUAGUUUGUGUGGAUUUGAUAUCGAUAGUCCUACUCCGAUGACAAAGAUAGGAUGGCUCUCCCCAACGUGGGUUGUACGUUGGACUCCAUGUAUCUCUCGUGGUUUAUGUCGGUUUUAGGAUCUCCCAGUAUGUGUGUGUUUCCUUGUCUCUAUGGUGAACGGUGAAGUGAUUUGAAAGUGGAAUUGUGAAAGUUAUUCUUUCGAAUGAUUUAAAGGAUGUUUACAUUAUGAGAAUUGAUAUUCUUGAUGAACUGAAAGUGAUUGACAAAUUAUAUGAUGACUCACAUGCGUUAUUAUACUUAUUUCAUUCCCUCAUGAUUAUGAUGAUUUUCUUCAGGCUAUGUGAGUCUUUCCAAAAUGGAUAAUAUUUCCAACUAUAUGUGGAUCAUCCAAAACGGACACCCGAGCGACGAGUUAUGAAUAUUCCGAUAGAACCGUGAAUAGUAGUGAACAGUAAAACAUGCAGGAAAAAGUACUGAGGCUGGCAUAUUUUUGCUACAACUUUAAAUGAUCAUAACUCCUUGUACAUAAGGAUAUGGGUGAUCUACUAUAUAUAAAUGGAAAUCUCUGUGAUUCCUCUUUCCGAUGAAAUUGGUUUCAUCCAAUUUGUCUAUCGGAGCAAAAAGUUAUGGUCGAUCUACUUCAGACUAUCAAAAGCAAAUUUUUCGGUCAACUUCAAAAGAUCAUAAAUCCUCGUACACAAUGAUAUGGGUGAGAUUCUAUAUAUCAACAGAAAUAUAUGAGAGUCCUCUUUCUAAUGAAAUUAGUUUCAUUCAAUUUGGAUAUCGGAGUAAAACGUUAUAGUUGAUCUACUUCAGACUAUCAAAACAGUCCACCAAAGGACAGAUUCGAGAAUUAUUUGAUUUUUUAGAAGAGUUUUGGUCAUUCCCCCUCACCAAAAAUCUGUCCAAACCCUAUAUUAAAGCCUAUUAGAAGCAUUAUAUGUUAUAUUUCAUAAAAUUCCCUCAAAAAGAAAAACCCUAAGCUCCUACAUCCAUCUUCAAGAACCUCCAAAGUUCACCAUUAAUUCUGCAAAUUUAUUAAAGAUUCCAAGUUCCUAGUUCAAGAACUUCAAGAACCACCAAAGUUCACCAUUAAUUCUGCAAAUUUAUUCAAGAUUACAAGUUCCUAAUUCAAGAACUCCAAGAACCAUCAUUCAAAGGCACUAUUAACAUCUCAAAAACGAGUAUAGAUCUAAUGUUCAUCAUUCAAGGUAUGUGGGGUUUUUCAACAAGAACCCUCUUUCUUUCUUGUGCCCAAAAGUAAUUUUAUUUACAAAGGCAUGAUUUUUAUUUGAUUUUUUACGAAUUUGACAUGAACUCAUAUCUUAUGAUGAUUAUUAUGAAAUUUUUAUGUUUAUUAUUUUAAAAGAUGAAUUUACAUGUGUGGAGAUAUAAAACAUGAAUCUUGAACGAUAUUUAUCAUGAUUUUGAUAUUUGGGUCGUGAAUCCCCACUGGAAAUUGUGUUUUUUGAGAAAGUGUGUGUUAUAAGCACGUUGAUGUUGAAUAUUUGAGAUAUUCAGAAUUAUUUGACCUUGUGAUCUUAAUGGAGUUGUUUUGAACUCGAGUGUGAAAGAAAUCCACAACGUUGUUGAUUUUGAUAGAUGGGAAGCAUGAUGGCUCCCAAUAUAUAUUUAUAUAAUACUGAAAUUGUUUUGUUGUGGAUUGUCUUUGAAAUGAUCUGAGCUAAGUCUGGGAGAAAUCUUUAGCACCGAGUGGGAGGUAUAAAGCGACCUUACUUCCCUAGAAAUAUGUUCCCUCGUAGGAGUGAGCCUGAGGUUGAUUUAUAUAGUGAUCUCUAGUUUGUGUGGAUUUGAUAUAGAUAGUCCUACUCCGAUGCCAAGGAUAGGACGGCUCUCCCCAACGUGGGUUGUAUGUUGGACUCCAUGUAGCUCUCAUGGUUUAUGUCAGUUAUAGGAUCUCCCAAUAUGUGUAUGUUUCCUUGUGUCUAUGAUGAACGGUGAAGUUAUUUGAAAGUGGAAUUGUGAAAGUUAUUCUUUCAAAAGAAUUAAAUGAUAUUUACGUUAUGAGAAUUGAUAUUCUUGAUGAACUGAAAGUGAUUGACAAAUUAUAUGAUGACUCACAUGUUUUAUUAUACUUAUUUCAUUCUCUCAUGAUUAUGAUGAUUUUCUUCAGGCUAUCUGAGUCUUUCAUACAUCCUGCAUAUUCCUUAUAUUUAUUUAUGAUGAUGAUGUUUAUACAACUGUACCCACCCCCAUAUACUCGGUUUCUUUCCAUGGUACUGACCCACAUCUUCGAAAGUGGGUUGUAUUUUCUCAGAAUGUAGGUUCCAGUGCUCAGUUCUAGGAUCGAUAGUGAUUUUUCGGGCAUGUUGUUCUACAUCCUCUUUUAUGGUGAGUCCUCAUGUUCGGAGGAUGUAAUGUCUGAUGUUGGUUUCACAGAAUUAUUUACAUUUGAUAACUGAGUAUGAGCCAUUUGGGGCAUGUCUUAAUGGCUCGCUGGUUUUAUUGAUUUUCGUAGAGGCUCUUCAGACUAGUAUAGAUGUUGGGAGUUGACUAAUAAGUCGUAUUUUGUUAUCUUUCUGAAAUUAUUUUAUUCUUGGAUGAUGAUUACUCUGUUGAUAUGUGAGGGUUAUUUAUGGAAACCCUGUUUAUUUGUGUUGAACUGAAUGAAAAUGGCUCAAAGGGUUAGAUUGGGGCUACUCGUAGCCUCAAGAACCGUGUCACGCUUCAGGACCCAUUUUUCGAGGCAUUACAAACUUGGUAUCAGAGCCUAAGGUUUUAAGGUGUCUUAGGGAUUCUGAAAAGCCACGUUAAUUAGAGUCUUGAUCAUCGGUGUGUAGCGCACAACAUCUAUGAGCAAGAGACGUUUAGGAAAAAGUGUGAUUUUUUUCUUUAAGAAGUUUCUCUCUCUGCUAUUAAUUCGUGCUCUCCUCUUUUAGAAAUAUGCCUCCACAUCGAGCGAGAAGAAAUAAUGAUGGUCAGCAACCUCAACCCGCUCACCCAUUGAAUGAAAACAUGUCUCAUGCUGAAUUUUGGGCAGCCUUUCAGGCGCUGGCCCAAGCUGUUACUACAAAUGUUUAGGCCAACCCGGCCCCGGCUCCACAGCUGCAAGGAGGUGAUUCAGCUGCUGCCAGGAUCCAUCACUUCAUACGGAUGAAUUCGCCGAAAUUUUAUGGGUUCAAGUCUGAUAAGGAUCUAUGGUCUUUUUUAGAGGAAGUGCGGAAGAUUACUCAGGUGAUGUAUGUAUCUGAGGAACAUAGUGUGGAGUUGGCUGCGUAUAGGUUGAAAGACCUUGCUUAUGACUAGGUUGUUGCUUGGUGGAAAGGUAGAGGUGAGGGAGCUGUCCCUAUAACUUGGCAAGAGUUCCAGGAUGUAUUCCUGGAUAAGUUUUUCCCUUUGGAUGAGGGAGGCAAAGGUGGAAGAGUUUAUGAACCUGUGACAGGGCUCUAUGACUGUUAGGGAGUACUGUCUAAAGUUCAAUCAGUUUGCCAAGUAUGCUCCUGACUUUGUGGCUAAUAAUCGGGCUAGUAUGAGUAAGUUUGUGACUGGAGUGUCUACUUAUGUGGUUAAGGAGUGUAGGUCUGCUAUGCUGAAUAGUGAGAUGAAUCUUUCUAAGAUGAUGAAUCAUGCCCAACAGAUUAAGGCAGACAAGAUUAAGGAGACAGAUAGAAUUAGAGGGAAUAAGAGAGCUAGGUCCGAGCAGCACGGACAGGGUCAGACUAUAACUCAGGGAGGGAGUUACCCUCAGUAUUAGGAUUGUUCAUCUAUGUCAGCAUCAUCAUCUGCUAGUGCUCCCAUGCCUAGAGGUAGGCAGGAGCAAGGUAGCAGGUCAUAUGCAUCAAGGUCCCAGUACAAUGCUGGCAGUAAGCCAAAUGGUCCCUUGUGUCCUAAUUGUGGUAGGGCUCAUUUGGGUGAGUGUUGGGGUGAGAAGAGAGGUUGUUUCUGGUGUGGUGACAUGGGUCACAAAGUUAGAAAUUGUCCACAGCAUGUCCCAACAGUCACAACAAUAACAGGAAAGCAAAACCCAAUUAACAACACAUUAGACCAUUAUAGAUAUAAAUUACAUAAUAUCUACCAUAGAUUCUUCAAUACAAAAAACAAAAGUACAACACAUGCCUGAAAAAUCUUUAAACACACCAAAUUUUGGUCACUUAAUGUAAUACCCCGGGAAAUUUUUCAUUGAAAUUUUGUGCGUAAACGUGUUGGGUUCUAUCUUCUAGAAUAAAUUAUAAAUUUUCCGUGAAGAAUGUCUAAGAUUAUGACCCACCAUUGUGUAGAGUAUCGAAUAAUCUUUCCAACUAUAUGUGGAUCAUCCAAAACGGACACCCGAGUGACGAGUUAUGAAUAUUCCGAUCGAACCGUGAAUAGUAGUGAACAGUAAAACAUGCAGGAAAUAGUACUGAGGCCUGGCGUAUUUUUGCUACAACUUUAAAGGAUCAUAACUCCUUGUACAUAAUGAUAUGGGUGAUCUACUAUAUAUCAAUGGAAAGCUCUGUGAUUCCUCUUUCCGAUGAAAUUGGUUUCAUCUAAUUUGUCUAUCGAAGCAAAAAGUUAUGGUUGAUCUACUUCAGCCUAUCAAAAGCAAAUUUUCGGUCAACUUCAAAAGAUCAUAAAUCAUCGUACACAGUUAUAUGGGUGAGAUACUGUAUAUCAAUAGAAAUAUAUGAGAGUCCUCUUUCUAAUGAAAUUGGUUUCAUUCAAUUUGGAUAUCAGAGUAAAACGUUAUAGUUGAUCUACUUCAGACUAUCAAAACAGUCCAUCAAAGGACAGAUUCGAGAAUUAUUUGAUUUUUUAGGAGAGUUUUGGUCACUACCCCUCUCCCAAAAUCUGUCCAAACCCUAUAUUAAAGCCUAUUAGAAGCAUUAUAUGUUAUAUUUCAUAAAAUUCCCUCAAAAAGAAAAACCCUAAGCUCCUACAUCCAACUUCAAGAACCUCCAAAGUUCACCAUUAAUUCUGCAAAUUUAUUCAAGAUUNNNNNNNNNNNNNNNNNNNNNNNNNNNNNNNNNNNNNNNNNNNNNNNNNNNNNNNNNNNNNNNNNNNNNNNNNNNNNNNNNNNNNNNNNNNNNNNNNNNNNNNNNNNNNNNNNNNNNNNNNNNNNNNNNNNNNNNNNNNNNNNNNNNNNNNNNNNNNNNNNNNNNNNNNNNNNNNNNNNNNNNNNNNNNNNNNNNNNNNNNNNNNNNNNNNNNNNNNNNNNNNNNNNNNNNNNNNNNNNNNNNNNNNNNNNNNNNNNNNNNNNNNNNNNNNNNNNNNNNNNNNNNNNNNNNNNNNNNNNNNNNNNNNNNNNNNNNNNNNNNNNNNNNNNNNNNNNNNNNNNNNNNNNNNNNNNNNNNNNNNNNNNNNNNNNNNNNNNNNNNNNNNNNNNNNNNNNNNNNNNNNNNNNNNNNNNNNNNNNNNNNNNNNNNNNNNNNNNNNNNNNNNNNNNNNNNNNNNNNNNNNNNNNNNNNNNNNNCUCCCGUAAGAGUGAGCCUGAGGCUGAUUUAUAUAGUGAUCACUAGUUUGUGUGGAUUUGAUAUCGAUAGUCCUACUCCGAUGGCAAGGAUAGGACGGAUCUCCCCAACGUGGGUUGUACGUUGGACUCCAUGUAGCUCUCAUGGUUUAUGAAGGUUAUAGAAUCUCCCAGUAUGUGUAUGUUUCCUUGUGUCUAUGAUGAACGGUGAAGUGAUUUGAAAGUUGAAUUGUGAAAGUUAUUCUUUCGAAAGAUUUAAAUGAUAUUUACAUUAUGAUAAUUGAUAUUCUUGAUGAACUGAAAGUGAUUCACAAAUUAUAUGAUGACUCACAUGUGUUAUUAUACUUAUUUCAUCCUCUCAUGAUUAUGAUGAUUUUCUUCGGGCUAUGUGAGUUAUUCAUACAUCCUGCAUAUUUCUUAUAAAUAUUUAUGAUGAUGAUGUUUAUAAAACUGCAUACACCCCCAUAUACUCGGUUCCUUUCCAUGGUACUGACCCACAUCUUCGGAUGUGGGCUGCAUUUUCUCAAAAUGUAGGUUCAGGUGCUCAGUUCCAGGUUCGACAAUGAUUCUUCGGGCACGCUGUUCUACAUCCUCUGUAGUGGUGAGUCCUGAUGUUGGUUUCACGGAAUCGAUUACAUUUGGUAACUGAGUAUGAGUCAGUUGAGGCAUGUCUCAAUUGCUCGCUGGUUUUAUUGAUUUUCUUAUAGGCUUGUUAGACUAGUAUAGAUGUUGGGAGUUGACAAAUAAGUCGUAUUUUGUUAUCUUUCUGAAAUUCUUUUAUUCUCAGAUGAUGAUUACUCUGUUUAUAUGUGAGGGUUAUUUAUGAAAACCCUGUUGAUUUGUGUUGAACUGAAUGAAAAUGACUCAGAGCGUUAGCUUGGGGCUACUUAUAUCCUCAAGUACCGUGUGACGCUCCGAGACCCUUUUUCGGGGUGUUACAUUUAACCAUGUCGUUCCAACUUAUAAUGAUUAUUUUCAGCUACAUGAAGAUCAGAUCUUAUUUGCAUGUUCAAAUCAAAAAUGAAUAAAAAUAACUAUGGAAGAAAAGGGCUUAUUGAAUAUUGCUAAGACCAAAAUAACAGGUUAGAUUCAAUCUAUAUUUUAAUCAAAAAAUUUUGUUCCAUUCUAUAUGUUAUCAGCUUAGAUGCAUCAGAUCUCCAAUUUCACUUGCAUGUACUAAUUAAAGAGGAAAAGAAUAUCUUGCAAUGAUAAGAGAGCAUACCAAAUAUUAUAAAGACCAUGAAAUCUGACGUAAAAGAAGAUUAUUUUCCAACAUCUACUAUAAAUUCAACAACAUAAACCAUAUAUUUCAAUUGCAUGCUGAAAUUAAAAUUGAAAAAAAUCACAAAAACAGCAGAAUUUGCCAGACUUUACAGAGACCAUACAUCAGUUACUAACGAAUGACUGCAGUUUAUUUUUCGACAUCUACAACGAAUCAACAACUAAUAAACCAUAGAUUUCACUUAAAUGUUCAAAUCUAGAAAGAUCAACUUAACAGGAGAACUUACCAUACGUUACGAAGUCUGCAAUCAGAUACCAAACAACAGAAAUGGUGAUUAUUUUCACAGAUCUAUAGAAACUGAACAAUAAAAAGCUUGGAUUAUUUCAAAGAACCAAAAUAAACAAUUCGGAAUACUUCGAUAUAACUAAGAAGAAAGAAAAUUCUUAGACCUUUCAGCUACCAUUUUUUGUUCCAAAUGAGUAAAUAAUAACAUAUUUGCUAAAAAUUAUCUUACAAUAUGGAGUUUCCAAUUUGUGAUGAAAGUAAAAAAGAAACGUUUCGGACAAAAAGAAAUGCUGACAAGGUACUUUCCCAAAUCUAUAAAAAUCUAUAUGAAUAUAAUCUUUUUUUUAAUAUAUUUUGUUCUUUGUACUGGAUUUUUUUAUAAAUUUUAUAAUUGUGUAUGGCCUGGCCUUUAUAUUUUACUUUAAUCAAUUUAACUCAUUUAUAACAUUUCUUAAAGAAGAAAAAACAUUUAAUAUAUUAUUUCUUUUAACAAAAUAAUAAUAUGCAAGCACUCACGUAUAAAUCUUUAUUAUUUAAUCUAUUUUUUUAGAUUUAUAAUUCUUUAAUCUUUUCAUAUAUUUUUUUUUCUCAUUUUAUUAAUCAUAAAAUUAUAAAAAUAUAUAUCAUUACAUUCAAUAAGAAAAUACUAAAAUUUAUAAAUAACUAAUGUAAGAAUAAUUUACUAUUAAUUAAAAAUAAAUAAUUGUCAAUGAACAUAGAAAUGUUAAAUAUUAAUUUCUUACGUUAAAUAUAUGCAUAUUUAUGUCAUUAUUAUAAAUAAUUUUAUUCAUUUAUGCCACUCCUUUUAAAAAAUACUUCAUUUUUUACCAUUCUAUUUAAUGGUAUUUUUAAUUUCCUAAAUUCCUACAAAAAAAUUGAAUAAGAAUUUAAUGACUAUUUAAAUGUCAAAUCAUUUCAAAUCCAGAUUUUAAUUACAUCCAUUCCCCCAUUUUUCUAAAUCAAAUAACAAUUUCUUAAUGGCUUACAAAUAAUUUAAUUCUAUUAUACUAAAAAUAAAUGAACAAUUACUUUUAAAAAUAAAAGGUCAUUGAAAUCUAUAAUUAUUUAAAAUGCUACACUAUUUUUUCGUGCAUCUCGUGGGUAAUAUACUAGUAUUAUUAAUAAGAGAGGAUGCAGCCUCCUCAAUAAGCCAAGUGGAAUUCUCUGAAUUGGCCAUUUGGAAAGGUUAUUGCAUGUCUGGUGCUAAUAUAUCAACUUACAUCCAAAUGUUGGUGUUUUUUGCUUUCAAUUGCAGCCAUGUAAUCUCCUCUUUCGUAAAUGGUCACCUCUAUGUAUUGUUAACUAACUAUUGUGGUGAUAACCUUUUCAAAAUAGUUCAUCUCAGUUAAUGUUCAAAAUAAAAUAUUCUCUAAAGGUUUUAUUAUGGAGAAUCAUUUUUUCUAAUAUGGUCGGAAAGUCUAUCUGCAUUUGGUCAUGGCUUAGAAAUUGGAGUUGAUGCAUAGAAAAAUAGAUUGUGUGAUGUGAGUACAAAAAGAGGAAGUGGAUCCAACUUGCAUAUAUUGAUGAACAACCAACUACACAUUCUAAUGAAUUUGAGGACAAGAUGGAGUUGGAAAGCAUCUGCAAUCCACUUAUUCUAUAGUAAGUAUGUGUCAAGAUGGAGUUGUAAAGCAUCCAGUACAAUCGAUUCCUUCAAUAUUUGGUAUAUAUCAAUGAGGAGAAUUUCUAUUAUUUUAAUCUAACUUUUAUUAGAGUUGAUAAAAUGCAUGUUAAAUUUGUAGUAUUGUAUUUGGUCUGUUAUCUCUGUUAUUUAAAACAAUGAUUCUAUCAUUCCAGAAAGUUCAAUACAACUACAAAUACCUCUUCCAACAAAAUUCUAAAAAUUAUCUUCCACUCACAAUUUAAUUUUUAGUUGUGAAGAGAGGCAAGGGAUUAGUUCAUUGGUGGUCUAGCUAUACAUCGGAACAGGGGCCUAUGAGAAACCUAUCAUGUCUGACGUAUCAAUAUUCUCCCCUUUGCAAAUUGCUUUAUCCUCUCAUAUCAAGUUCCUUCUAUGCAUGGUUGUCUUUUUCACCUUUAGGUAUACUAUUAAACUAGAGAAGCACAACCUCACUGGGAAAAAUUGUCUUUAGUAAAUAAACACCAACCUCCAGGGUCUUUAGGCUUACAAAAAAUUUGCUAUGAGAUGUUACUAUUAUGAUACUAUGAUAGUAUACAAAGUCUUAAUUCAUGUCUUUUUUCGUCUUUCAUUUAUGGGACAAGGUUGAUCUAAAGAAAUCAAAAAUAGCAUAUCAGUAAGCUAUAUUGCCUCAAAACCAAAGUCUAAAUUAUAUGAUAGUUGGUGAAGAUUUAGCUUUCUUACGGGAAGGAGAAUUAGAAAUAAUGUAAAUUAAGGUAAGCUUCUCACAUUUUUGGACAUGUAAGUAUGAAGGUUCUUUGAGUAUAAAAGGAGAAAUGACAAGAGGAAGAGGCCUGAAGGCAACUAAGUAUGAUAGUUUUCUUGGAAAUUGUUUAUUAUGCUGCUUUCUUGUAUUCAUGGAAAUAUAUCAAUGUUGCAUAGUUAGUUGAUUAAUGGACAUUAUUAUGCUAACUUUGUCAUUAACUUUACGACAUAUUGUUUGGCUGCUGGAGGAGUCAGUUUGACAACAUGUUUUAGCACUCUUUUUGGAGCCUGUUCAGGAUGAUUCUGUGUUAAACGAUGCGGGUGAAAAGGCCGCAUCAGCUCCUCCAAAUAUCCUAGAUGAGGAAUUCGGAUAAUUUAAUAUGAAAAUUUUAUUUUUGUAGCAUCUGAACUGAACUCUGAAGACAAUUUUUUUUUUUUGUCAUCUAAUUGCAUUACUCUCUUAAGUGAAGCUCUAAGUAGAAGUAGCAUAUGCAUUAUUGUGUUGAACAUCCUGAGGAAAUCAUCAAACUCACCAAGGUGAAAGUCCAGAUUUCAAAAGUUAAGGCUGUUAUUGAUGUAAAACAUCGAGACUGUAAAAUAUCUCUAAUAAUUAUAUACCUUUAUAUGUGGUAGAUGGUUUAACAGUUUACAUGAAAGCUUGACAUAGUCUUCUUUUAUUAUGUAAUAACGACAUAAUAUAAUUCAAGAAAAAAUAAUGCAUGAUAGCACAUAAGAUUUAUUUGGAUUUUGGAAAGAUUCCUUACAGUUAAGAGACAUCAAGAAAAAUAGUUAUAAUAUGACUAUUACAAAUAAGGUCGAUAUUGUUAUUAAAAUCUCACGUAUUAUUUUGUUAAUGAUGGUUGAUUGCGAUGAUCAAUCAUAAAUGAUAGAUAGUGAUGGUGACGACUCGAUUUGCUGAUUGACAUAGUGAUGGUUGAGUAUGGUGCUUAUUAGUAGUAGGAUCUAUUAGUCAUAAAUGGUGAUCAGCUAAAGUUGUAAUUGUUGCUGAAAAGAGCCGAGCCGGCUCAGAGCUCGGCUCGACUCAGCUUGUUUCUCCAUAAUGGGAAUCAAUUUAGAUUGAGAUUAUCAGUAUAUAUUCAGAUUAUCAUUAUGUCAUGAGUUGCAACUAUGUAUGAGCAUAACUCUUUUCCAUAGUUGGGAAUAUACUCUAUAUUGCCCUAUUCAUUUUUUAAGUGAUCCUAAUGGAGCUUAGCUUGCAUGCACCCCAACUAAUUCACUGAGCAACUUGUCCAUCCCACAAAGGGAAUUUCUUAAGCUCAUACGCAAAAGUCUAACUUGGCCAUACCAUAUAUUGUCAAGUAGGGGUGGGAGUUCGGUUCGGUAUUUUUAAAGCUCGGGUUUGAUAAUUCAGUAAUCGAUAUUUGAGAGUAGAUACACAUACCAUACUUAUAAACAUCAAUUCGAUAAUUCAGUAAUCGGUAAAUUAAAUUCUGGUUCAAUAUGGUAUUUGGUUAGGCGUAUCAUAUUAUAUAUAUAUAUAAAAUUUGGUAUUCGAUAAAUAUUGAAUACCAAACGGUAUUUAAUAUUUUGUAACAAACCCAAUCUUGAAUACCGAAAUGUUGAAAUUUUACUCUCAAAUACCAACUGAAUUACCGAAUAUCAAUUACCAAAUUUUUCGAUUCGGUUUGAUAAUUCAGUUCUCGGUGUUUUACACCCAGCCCUAUUGACAAGGUAUGCUGUCUAUCAAGGCUAGCCAGAUGGGUGUACCUGGUUUUGUAUCUUGGAUUCAAACCUAGAAUCUCCAAGUUUUACUCCUAUCUUAACCACUACUCCAUCCCCUUGGGGAACCAACAUUAUGUUAUAAACUAAAAAGUGUUGUAGAUGUUUCCUUACUAAUCAAUAGGAAAAAGACCAGUGGAGUUCAUAAAAGAAAAGUCCGCCAUAAAAGAAAAGAUUAAUCAGUCAGCUGACUACUAGCAAAGAUGAGCCAUCCAAAAAGCUACCAUGCAAGGACAGAUAUGAGCUGAAAUUUGAACUCUUUUGGAGUUUAAUUUACCUCGUGUUAACUUAUGUUAGUAAUUAAGGUGCAUGAUGAAGGCUACUUACUUCCAGGAAGGAUCUAGAGCAGGAUCAUAAGGGUGUGUCAUGGGUAUCAUUCGACUCUCAUUCACAGCAUUGUGACUCCUACGCUCCAGAAUGAUAGAAUAGAACCAUCAGGACAUAAAAAGAAGGCUACAUAAAUUGGAUUGAAGCACAGUAAGUAAAUAAAUUUUUCUAUGUAAGCUUUUCAGAUAUUGAUGGUGUAACAGAAAACAUUUUGAAAGAUAAUAGAAACUCUAGACAUAUCAUUGUUAUAUUUCUUAAAAAAAAUUAAUUAGAGCAUGAUAGAAGAUGAAAUUUCAGAUGAACAAAGAUAUAAGAAGAGGACAGAUCAAAACAAGCAAUGAAUCUUAGGAGAUGUUGGCGAACACUUACAUUUAGAUGAUUGAUGGACAUAACUCCAGAGGAGCUAGUAGUUUUCAUCCACUUGGUGCCUGAUGAUAGACCAAGAGAUUAUUCAAUAGGUCGGUAUCUUGUUUUCCCAGUCUGUACCUCCUUUUCCCUGCUAAUAGAAUGGCCACCAAGAAACUUACCACAUUAAUUUGGUGGCAUGAAACUCUGAAAAACCUUUGUAGGAGCAUGUAAUUUGGAUCCAGAACACUCAUUUUCUAGUCCACGUGAUGAAGACAUUACUUGCUUGCCCUUAUCACAUUCUUCACGGCAACAAUCCUCUUGAGCAUCUUCGCAAUAACCCUGUGUGCGAUAU